UCUAAAUGCAGUAGUGUGCACCUGUAGUCCUGGGAGGCUGAGGCAGGAGGAUUGCUUGUGCCCAUGAGUUGUAGGAUAUAGUGCACAGACCAGGUGUCUGAACUAAGUUUGGUAUCAGUAUGUGACCUCCAGGAGCAGGUGACCGGCAGGAUGCCUGUGAGGGGGUAAGCCAGCCCAGGUCAGAAAUGGAGCAGAUCAAAACCCCCAUGCUGAUUGGUAAUGGGAAUAGCCACUGCAUUCCAGCCUGGGCAACAAAGCAAGACCCCAUCUCUU
rfam:Otolemur garnettii contig026104, whole genome shotgun sequence.